GAUGAACGCUGGCGGCGUGCUUAACACAUGCAAGUCGAACGGUGAAGCAGGAGCUUGCUCUUGUGGAUCAGUGGCGAACGGGUGAGUAACACGUGAGCAACCUGCCCCUGACUCUGGGAUAAGCGCUGGAAACGGCGUCUAAUACUGGAUAUGUGAUGUGACCGCAUGGUCUGCAUCUGGAAAGAAUUUCGGUUGGGGAUGGGCUCGCGGCCUAUCAGCUUGUUGGUGAGGUAAUGGCCCACCAAGGCGUCGACGGGUAGCCGGCCUGAGAGGGUGACCGGCCACACUGGGACUGAGACACGGCCCAGACUCCUACGGGAGGCAGCAGUGGGGAAUAUUGCACAAUGGGCGGAAGCCUGAUGCAGCAACGCCGCGUGAGGGAUGACGGCCUUCGGGUUGUAAACCUCUUUUAGCAGGGAAGAAGCGAAAGUGACGGUACCUGCGGAAAAAGCACCGGCUAACUACGUGCCAGCAGCCGCGGUAA
rnacentral:rRNA from 1 species